GCUGGGUGUGGUGGCGCACCCCUGUAAUCCCAGCUACUCGGGAGGCUGAGACAGGAGAAUCACUUGAACCCAGGAGGUACAGGUUGCAGUGAGCCAAGAUCACACCAUUGCAUUCCAGCCUGGGUAAAAGAGUGAAACUCAGUCUCAA
ensembl:misc_RNA Metazoa_SRP Metazoan signal recognition particle RNA